ACAAAAAUAAAUAAAUAUUUUUAAAAAAAGAUGUAUGAGGAAUAAAGGUUGGGACAUCAAAUACUAGUGUUAGGGCUGAGGAUGUGGCUCAAGCGGUAGAGCGCUCGCCUGGCAUGCGUGCGACCUGGGUUCGAUCCUCAGCACCACAUACAAAGAUGUUAUUUCUGCAGAAAACUAAAAAAUAAAUAAAUAUUUAAAAAAAAAAUACUAGUGUUAGACUAUUGGUAUUAUGGGUGAAUCUUUUCUCUAUUUCCAAGUUUUGUGAAAUUUAAUUUGAUUAUUAUUAAAUAAUUUGAUUAUUAUUAAACCUUGUGGGGGGUACUGAAACUGAUCUCAGGGGUGCUUUACCACUAAGCUAUAUCCUCAACCCUUUUUAUUUUUAUUUUUUAUUUUGACACAGAUUUUCGCUAAGUUGCCCAGGCUGGCCUCAAACUUGCAAUCCUCCUUCCUUAGCCUUCCAAGUCCCUGGGAUUACAGGUGUGUGCCACCACACCCAGCAAAAUACAAUUUUUAAAUAAUGAAAAGUUACCUUAAAAGAGCAAAUAGAUGCUUUUCUGAUGGGUUAAGGAGUAGUGGCCUAUCAGCUUAUCUGAAUCAUCUGAGUAACAUUUUAAAGAUAUUCAUUUUUUUCCCCUCAAUACUGGUGAUUAAACCUAGGGGUGCCCUAUCACUGAAUUACACAUGGUGUUCAUUCUUGGCCUUCUCCCACCCCAAGUAAAGCCCAGAAUCUUCAUGACUUCUUAUUCCUGUCCUCAGUAACCUGAACUUGCUCCAGGCAGAGUUAGGCACUUUCCCCUGUAGGCUCCCACAACCCCUUAGGACACAUUUGUUUAUUUAUCUGAUCCUUCCACUUCAUAACAAACAUGAUGCUUACCAUAUGGUGGGGCAGUUUGCUAGACACUUUUACAUCCAUUCUAAUUAUAAACUUCUCUCCUCCUUUGUGAAGUAAACCAUCAGUUCACAGAUAAGCCAAUAGGAAAGUUAAGUAACCUACUAACUUCGACAGUGUAAGUAGUAGAACCUGGGUCUAAAGGCAGAUGGUCCAGCUCUGAGUCUCCUCACUGAUAAUCACUGGACAUCCUGCCUUCCAUGAACCUGAGAGCUCUUAGAGAAGGACCAGGGGAGCCAACACAGUAUUGACAUGUAGAAGGUUCUCUACAAACAUAGUUAGAAUAAAGGCCAUGGCAAUGUCUCAUGUACUGCAUGUCACAGUUUCAGCCUUGACCUUCUCAAACUAGGAUCUCUACAAAAGCUAGCCAAGGGGAUCUUCAGCACCUUCCUGUGAACAUGGCUUGCCUAUUCCCGUUCCUUCCUUCUCCUUUCCAACAACAUCUGUCUUCUUCCCUCCCCUGUGGGACACACCCAAGCAACAAACCACCCACUUAGCUGGUUCCUCUCAAUUAAAAAAAAAAAAAUCCAACCUAUUUUUUCUUCUAAAAUCCCUUCAGGAGAAGGCUGCUGAUAUCAUGCCCAUACAGAUGCCAUCAUCUCAGGAGAGGUGAUGGGCCCAGGCAUCACCUUCAGCUUGUAGAGUUACACAUGAUUG
rnacentral:lncRNA from 1 species